AAACCGCCUAGAGGUAAACGGGUGGAUCCGCAAAGUCGGCCCGCGGAAUUCAGCUCGGAAGGCUGGCGCGAGCGGCGGGCAAGAGAUCUGAUGGGACUCUCCCGUCGCUCGACCGCUGGUCGGCCGUGUGCACUUUCCGCGGGCAGAGCGCCACGACCGGUUCCCGGGCGGUCAGAAGGCGGCGAGGAAGGUAGGUGGUUGCUUCGGCGGCCACUGUUACAGCCUCGCCUGUCCCGACCCGCUGGGGGACCGAGGAGCCGCCGUCGGUCGCGGCCACUCCGCUCUCUCGGGGAGUUCGACUGGCAGAGACUGGGCAACCGUGUCUGCUGACUGCUCUCUCGGAUGGUCGGAGCGGGCCUGGCCGGCACAGGGUCGGUGGCGAAUCGGUCGGCCCUCCACCCGACCCGUCUUGAAACACGGACCAAGGAGUCUAACAUGCGCGCGAGUCGUUGGGUAGUACGAAACCCGAAGGCGAAGUGAAAGCGAGGGCGCGCCUCUGGUGCGCUCAGGUGGGAUCCCGCUCCUCACGGGGAGUGGGCGCACCGCCGGCCCGUCUCGUCCGCGUUGUCGGUGAGGCGGAGCAAGAGCGUGCACGUUGGGACCCGAAAGAUGGUGAACUAUGCCUGAGUAGGAUGAAGCCAGAGGAAACUCUGGUGGAGGUCCGCAGCGAUUCUGACGUGCAAAUCGAUCGUCAAACUUGGGUAUAGGGGCGAAAGACUAAUCGAACCAUCUAGUAGCUGGUUCCCUC
rnacentral:rRNA from 1 species